GACGAACGCUGGCGGCGCGCUUAACACAUGCAAGUCGAACGGAAAGGCCUGCUUUUCCUUGUGGAUUGCGGGUACUCGAGUGGCGAACGGGUUAGUAACACGUGAGUGAUCUGCCCUCAACUUGGGUAUAAGCCUGGGAAACUGGGUCUAAUUCCCGAUCGGACUGCAGGGUGGUGCCUGUGGUGGAACAUGAUUUUCUAGUGGUUGGGGAUGAGCUGGCGGCUUAUCAGCUUGUGGGUGGGGUAAUGGCCCACCACGGCAGCGACGGGUGGCGGGCGUGGGAGGGUGGACAGCGACAUUGGGACUGGGAUACGGCCCAUACGCCUGCGGGAAGCAGCGAUGGUGGAUAAAGGACCAUGAGCGGAAGCCAGAUGCGGCGACGGCGCGUAGGAGAUGACGGCCUUCGAGUGGUAAACUCCUGGCGACCACGAGAAAACCACCUAGUUGGAAGGGUGGUGACGGUAGUGGUAGAAGAAGCACCGGCUAACUACGUG
rnacentral:rRNA from 1 species